rnacentral:tRNA from 1 species
UCACUGGUGGUCCAGUGGCUAAGCAUCUGCACUCCCAAUGCAGGAGGGCCUGGGUUCAAUUCCUGGUCAGGGAA